rnacentral:rRNA from 1 species
UACGUAGGGGGCAAGCGUUGUCCGGAAUUAUUGGGCGUAAAGGGCGCGUAGGCGGUUCGGCAAGUCUCUAGUGAAAUCUCACGGGCUCAACUCUGAGUCUGCUGGGGAAACUGCCGGGCUUGAGUGUGGGAGAGGAGAGUGGAAUUCCCGGUGUAGCGGUGAAAUGCGUAGAUAUCGGGGAGGAACACCUGUGGCGAAAGCGGCUCUCUGGACCACAACUGA